rnacentral:rRNA from 1 species
UACGUAGGGUGCGAGCGUUGUCCGGAAUUAUUGGGCGUAAAGAGCUCGUAGGCGGCCUGUCGCGUCGGAUGUGAAAACUCGGGGCUUAACCCCGAGCCUGCAUUCGAUACGGGCAGGCUAGAGUUCGGCAGGGGAGACUGGAAUUCCUGGUGUAGCGGUGAAAUGCGCAGAUAUCAGGAGGAACACCGGUGGCGAAGGCAGCUUGCUGGGACGGUACUGACGCUGAGACGCGAAAGCGUGGGGAGCAAACAGG